GACGAACGCUGGCGGCGUGCUUAACACAUGCAAGUCGAACGAAGAGCGAUGGAAGCUUGCUUCUAUCACUCUUAGUGGCGAACGGGUGAGUAACGCGUAAUCAACCUGCCCUUCAGAGGGGGACAACAGUUGGAAACGACUGCUAAUACCGCAUACGAUCUAAUCUCGGCAUCGAGGAUAGAUGAAAGGUGGCCUCUACAUGUAAGCUAUCACUGAAGGAGGGGAUUGCGUCUGAUUAGCUAGUUGGAGGGGUAACGGCCCACCAAGGCGAUGAUCAGUAGCCGGUCUGAGAGGAUGGACGGCCACAUUGGGACUGGGACACGGCCCAGACUCCUACGGGAGGCAGCAGUGGGGAAUCUUCCGCAAUGGACGAAAGUCUGACGGAGCAACGCCGCGUGAGUGAUGACGGCCUUCGGGUUGUAAAGCUCUGUUAAUCGGGGCGAAAGGCCUUCUUGCGAAUAGUGAGAAGGAUUGACGGUACCGGAAUAGAAAGCCACGGCUAACUACGUG
rnacentral:rRNA from 1 species